GCCGCCUAAGGUGGGACAGAUGAUUAGGGUGAAGUCGUAACAAGGUAGCCGUAGGAGAACCUGCGGCUGGAUCACCUCCUUUCUAAGGAAUA
rnacentral:rRNA from 1 species